CAGCUUGCUGCUUUGCUGACGAGUGGCGGACGGGUGAGUAAUGUCUGGGAAACUGCCUGAUGGAGGGGGAUAACUACUGGAAACGGUAGCUAAUACCGCAUAACGUCGCAAGACCAAAGAGGGGGACCUUAGGGCCUCUUGCCAUCGGAUGUGCCCAGAUGGGAUUAGCUAGUAGGUGGGGUAACGGCUCACCUAGGCGACGAUCCCUAGCUGGUCUGAGAGGAUGACCAGCCACACUGGAACUGAGACACGGUCCAGACUCCUACGGGAGGCAGCAGUGGGGAAUAUUGCACAAUGGGCGCAAGCCUGAUGCAGCCAUGCCGCGUGUAUGAAGAAGGCCUUCGGGUUGUAAAGUACUUUCAGCGGGGAGGAAGGGAGUAAAGUUAAUACCUUUGCUCAUUGACGUUACCCGCAGAAGAAGCACCGGCUAACUCCGUGCCAGCAGCCGCGGUAAUACGGAGGGUGCAAGCGUUAAUCGGAAUUACUGGGCGUAAAGCGCACGCAGGCGGUUUGUUAAGUCAGAUGUGAAAUCCCCGGGCUCAACCUGGGAACUGCAUCUGAUACUGGCAAGCUUGAGUCUCGUAGAGGGGGGUAGAAUUCCAGGUGUAGCGGUGAAAUGCGUAGAGAUCUGGAGGAAUACCGGUGGCG
rnacentral:rRNA from 1 species